rnacentral:rRNA from 1 species
GAUGAACGCUGGCGGCGUGCCUAAUACAUGCAAGUCGAGCGAACAGACGAGGAGCUUGCUCCUCUGACGUUAGCGGCGGACGGGUGAGUAACACGUGGAUAACCUACCUAUAAGACUGGGAUAACUUCGGGAAACCGGAGCUAAUACCGGAUAAUAUAUUGAACCGCAUGGUUCAAUAGUGAAAGACGGUUUUGCGGUCACUUAUAGAUGGAUCCGCGCCGCAUUAGCUAGUUGGUAAGGUAACGGCUUACCAAGGCAACGAUGCGUAGCCGACCUGAGAGGGUGAUCGGCCACACUGGAACUGAGACACGGUCCAGACUCCUACGGGAGGCAGCAGUAGGGAAUCUUCCGCAAUGGGCGAAAGCUUGACGGAGCAACGCCGCGUGAGUGAUGAAGGUCUUCGGAUCGUAAAACUCUGUUAUUAGGGAAGAACAAAUGUGUAAGUAACUAUGCACGUCUUGACGGUACCUAAUAAGAAAGCCACGGCUAACUACGUG